ensembl:processed_transcript
CAGUAUUGGAUGCCUGAUUGCAGUUCAACUCCAAACUCAGUUGGACCAGCUGAUCAGUGUCUUCAGUAUUACCACAAGCUACUGGGCAGAUGUGUGGACACGACAGCUAUGAGCCAGACUUGGGACGUUUGGUUUUUAGGUAAUACCAGUGACAAAGUAUUCACAGGUGGAGAGACCGUCUGGGCAGCAGAAACAAGACAACUAAUCAUAGUUAGGUUGAGAUUAGUAUUAUUAACUUGACUAGUUUGGUUGCAGACUUGUUCAAUACUUAACAAUUUGUAUGAGUUACAAGAUCAAUGGUCCUGCUAUCAAUGUUUUUGUAACUUAAAUUCAUUACAGUUUAGAUACAAUCAAAUGUCCAAACCAUCUCUGAGUGAAUGACAUCAAGGAAACAGGAUCAAAAGAUCAUUCAUUAUAGACCGUUUCAUAGUUGGUUAUAUUUUUCAGGUCAUUCUGUUCUCCUGGUUGUGAGCAUGUGCAGAGGCUGUAUUUGUCAGUGUUAAAAGACU